rnacentral:rRNA from 1 species
UGGGGAAUCGUGGUCAACGGGCGAAAGCCUGAACCUGCGACGCCGCGUGAGUGAUGAAGGUCGUAAGAUCGUAAAACUCUUUUCAGGGAUCUUAAAGCCUGUCUGUCAACAACAGGCAGGUCUGGCUCUCCCUGGAAGAAGCCCCAGCCAACUACGUGCCAGCAGCUGCGGUAAUACGUAGGGGGCGAGCGUUAUUCGGAAUUACUGGGUGUAAAGGGUAUGUAGGCGGCCCUUCAAGUCGCGUGUCAAAGUCCAGUGCUCAACGCUGGGUGUGCGCGCGAUACUGACGGGCUUGAGGGCUGGAGAGGUGAGCGGAAUUCCCGGUGUAGUGGUAAAAUACGUAGAGAUCGGGAGGAACACCAGCGGCGCAGGCGGCUCACUAGACAGUUUCUGACGCUAAGAUACGAAAGCGUGGGGAGCAAACA